rnacentral:rRNA from 1 species
UUCGAGUGGCGGACGGGUGAGUAACGCGUGGGUAACCUGCCUUACACAGGGGGAUAACACCUGGAAACAGGUGCUAAUACCGCAUAAGCGCACAGGGCCGCACGGCCCGGUGUGAAAAACUCCGGUGGUGUAAGAUGGACCCGCGUCUGAUUAGCUUGUUGGCGGGGUAGGGGCCCACCAAGGCGACGAUCAGUAGCCGGCCUGAGAGGGUGGACGGCCACAUUGGGACUGAGACACGGCCCAAACUCCUACGGAAGGCAGCAG